rnacentral:rRNA from 1 species
UAACCCUUACGGGAGCCAGCCGCCGAAGGUGGGACAGAUGAUUGGGGUGAAGUCGUAACAAGGUAGCCGUAUCGGAAGGUGCGGCUGGAUCACCUCCUUUCUAAGGA